rnacentral:lncRNA from 1 species
CGCGGGACGGGGCGGCUGUGGGUGGAGCGCGGCCCCGCCGGGCGUGGGCGUGAGACUGCGGUCCCGCCGUGGUGUUGCCGCGGUUCUUCCUGACACAAAACACAAACAGCGGAGUGCACACGCAGGGUACAUAGGCAAGUUGGGCAGUAAAUGAAUGGAAGAAGAACAUGAUGAGAAUAUCCCAUCCAACUUCUACAAGAUCAGCAUUCUUU